AACGCACAUUGCGCCCGCCAGUAUUCUGGCGGGCAUGCCUGUCCGAGCGUCAUUUCAACCCUCAGGCCCUGGUUGCCUGGUGUUGGGGCGCCGCGCACCCUCCGCGGGCGCGGGCCCCGAAAGUCAGUGGCGGGCUCGCCAGGACUCCGAGCGCAGUAAUUUUCUCUCGCUGUGGAGCGCCUGGUGGGUUACCAGCCGUAAAACACCCCAAAUUCUAAAGGUUGACCUCGGAUCAGGUAGGAAUACCCGCUGAACUUAA
rnacentral:misc_RNA from 1 species